rnacentral:rRNA from 1 species
AUCUCCAGACUUAAUCCAAAAAAACUAAAGUAUUAAAAGCUAUAACCUCUAAAUUUUAAGGAUUUGGCGGUAAUCUAGUCCAGUUAGAGGAACCUGUUUGAUAAACGAUAAACCACGCAAUAUCUUACCUGUUUUCAAAAUUUGUAUACCGUCAUUAUUAGAUAACUCUAAAAAGAAAGAAGUUAUUUCAAUAAAUAUUUCUCUUAGUAUAUUAGAUCAAGGUGCAGUCUAUAAACAGGUCAUAAUGGGUUACAAUAAAACUUAUUUACUACGGAUAAAAAAUUUAAACUAUCUUUUUUAAGGAGGAUUUAAUAGUAAUCUUAGAUUAGCAAGCUACUAUGAUAAAGGAUCUAGAUUGAGUACAUAUCGCCCGUCGCUUUCAUCCAAAAAUGAAAUAAGUCGUAACAUAG